rnacentral:rRNA from 1 species
UACGUGAAACCGUUCAGGGGUAAACCUGAGAAACCCGAAAGGUCGAAAGGGGAGAUUCAGCGCGUUUCACGUUAUGGUGUCGAGUUCGUGCGUGACGAAUGACGUUCGCGUCGUGAGCUCCUCGAAUUCGUCCAACCGUUUCUGAACGUGUGCACUUCUCCCCGAGUAGGACGUCGCGACCCGUUGGGCGUCGGUUUAAGAACCGUGGUGGAGUCCAACCGGUCGGUUCGCCGCACCGGUUGAACCCAUGGAUUUCCGACCGACACGCUCGACGGUAUGCAUAUGGCGCCGGGCCGCUACUUAGUUAGCGUUCGACAGGUGGCAAGCUUGCUCGUCGUUUCGGUGUCUCGGACCUAGUGCCGAACCUGAGCGCGGGCGGCUGUUCGCCGCCAUGUUCUCGAACAGACCCGUUGAAACGCCGUUCUGCGACGCUAUUGCUUUGGGUAAUUUCAGGACCCGUCUUGAAACACGGACCAAGGAGUCUAGCAUGUGCGCAAGUCAUUGGGCGUAACCGAAACCUAAAGGCGUAAUGAAAGUGAAUGUCAACCUUGCGUUGGCUAAGGGAGGAUGGGUGGUCAUCUGAUCGCCUCGCACUCCCGGGGCGUCUCGUUCUCAUUGCGAGAUGAGGCGCACCAAAAGCGUACACGCUGGGACCCGAAAGAUGGUGAACUAUGCCUGGUCAGGACGAUAGUCAGGGGAAACCCUGAUGGAGGUCCGUAGCGAUUCUGACGUGCAAAUCGAUCGUCUGAAC